GAUGAACGCUGGCGGCGUGCCUAAUACAUGCAAGUCGAGCGAACAGACGAGGAGCUUGCUCCUCUGACGUUAGCGGCGGACGGGUGAGUAACACGUGGAUAACCUACCUAUAAGACUGGGAUAACUUCGGGAAACCGGAGCUAAACCGGAUAAUAUAUUGAACCGCAUGGUUCAAUAGUGAAAGACGGUUUUGCUGUCACUUAUAGAUGGAUCCGCGCCGCAUUAGCUAGUUGGUAAGGUAACGGCUUACCAAGGCAACGAUGCGUAGCCGACCUGAGAGGGUGAUCGGCCACACUGGAACUGAGACACGGUCCAGACUCCUACGGGAGGCAGCAGUAGGGAAUCUUCCGCAAUGGGCGAAAGCCUGACGGAGCAACGCCGCGUGAGUGAUGAAGGUCUUCGGAUCGUAAAACUCUGUUAUUAGGGAAGAACAAAUGUGUAAGUAACUAUGCACGUCUUGACGGUACCUAAUCAGAAAGCCACGGCUAACUACGUG
rnacentral:rRNA from 1 species